ACAGACAGUUUCUACGACUUUCAGGAUCACUCUUAGAUAAUGGAAAGACCUAUGGCAACUUCACGUAACAGACAUGGUCCCAAGCAAGGAUUAUCCUGGAUGUGAUGCUGUGUUCUUGUUGGAUGCUCUCAGGGCUAUCCCAAGUUGAUUCUGGGCUUGGCUGUGUAACCUGCUUUGACCAAUGAGACAUUAGCAAAGGCAAUGCAAGCAGAGCCUCAAAAAGUCUUCCUUCUUGCUGUUCUUGGUACCAUGUUGGCAUGUGAAUAAGCUCAAGCUAGUCUUCUGGAUGAUGAGAAACACAUAGCACACUUACCCAUUGCCCCAGCUGAUAGCCAGCCAACCUUCAGAAGCACAGCUGCCAAGCUGACUGACAGCUGAUUGCAGGCACAUGAUUGAGACCAGCUGAAAAUAGGAGAAUUUUCCAGAUAAGCACAUCCCAAAUGGUUGAUCCAUGGAAUUAUGAGCUAAAUAAAUGGUUGUUAUUUUAAGCCACUAGUUUUGGGGUGGUUUGUAAUGUAGCAAAAGCUGGCUGAUACAAGAGCCAAUAAAAAUAUUCCAAACACAUUUAUAUAAGUAUAAAGGUGAAGAUGAUCCCCUUUUUCAUGUUUUUCCAGGAGUGGAAUUAAACUAUUGCCAUAUUAGAAGGAGUAGUACUGGAAUAAUGAUCUGAUUUCCCUUAAACCCUGGCUUCUAAACAAUUUUGAAAAAGAAUAGCAAAGUAGAGGGACUUCCACUACCCAAUUUCAAAACUUAUUAUAAAACUACAGUAAUCAAGACUGUGAUUGGCACAAAGAUAGAUCUACAGAUCAGUGGAACAAAAUAGAAAGUCCAGAAAAAAUCCUUGUAUUUAUGGCCAAUUGCUUUUUUGACAAAGAAACAAAGAAAUUCAAUGGAGAAAGGAUAUUUUUUUCAAUAAAUGGCACUAGAACAAAUGUAUAUCCAUAUGCAAAAAAAUAAUAAUCAUCUUAGCUCUUUACCUCACAUCAUACACAAAAAUCAACUCAAAACUGAUCAUAGAUCUAAAGAGCUAAAACUAUGAAAAUUCUAAUGGAAACAUAAGAGAAAAUCUUUGUGACCUUGGGUUAAGCAAAGUUUUCUUAGAGGUAACACAAAAAUCAUGAUCUAUAAAAGGAAAAAUGAUAAAUUGGACUUCAUCAAAAUUGAAAAUCUUUGCUCUUCAAGAGACACCAUUAAAAUUAAAAGGCAAGCCACAGACUAUUAAGAUUCACAA